rnacentral:rRNA from 1 species
GCUGCCGACCAUACUAUGUUUAAUGUGCUGGAUCCCUUUCGAACUCCAUUGCUAAGAAACAUAAGGCCUGUGUAGUACCGGUCUAGGGG